rnacentral:rRNA from 1 species
UAAAAAACWCACAUAGCGAGGANAAGAACCCAACAGGGAUUGCCUCAGUAACGGCGAGUGAAGCGGCAACAGCUCAAAUUUGAAAUCUGGCUCUCUUUGGGGGUCCGAGUUGUAAUUUGAAGAGGGUGCUUUGGCGUCGACGGCGGUCUAAGUCCCUUGGAACAGGGCAUCGCAGAGGGUGAGAAUCCCGUAUGUGGCCGCAAGCCUUCGCCGUGUAAAGCCCCUUCGACGAGUCGAGUUGUUUGGGAAUGCAGCUCUAAAUGGGAGGUAAAUAUCUUCUAAAGCUAAAUACCGGCCAGAGACCGAUAGCGCACAAGUAGAGUGAUCGAAAGAUGAAAAGCACUUUGGAAAGAGAGUCAAACAGCACGUGAAAUUGUUGAAAGGGAAGCGCUUGCAGCCAGACUUGCUCGCAGUUGCUCAUCCGGGCUCUCGCCCGGUGCACUCUUCUGCGKGCAGGCCAGCAUCAGUUUGGGCAGCCGGAUAAAGACCUCUGUCACGUAUCUUCCUUCGGGAUGACCUUAUAGGGGAGGUGUAAUGCGGUUAGCCUGGACUGAGGUCCGCGCAUCUGCUAGGAUGCUGGCGUAAUGGCUGUAAGCGGCCCGUCUUGAAACACGGACCAAGGAGUCUAACAUCUAUGCGAGUGUUUGGGUGUCAAGCCCGGGCGCGCAAUGAAAGUGAACGGAGGUGGGAGCCCUCUCGGGGGUGCACCAUCGACCGAUCCUGAUGUCUUCGGAUGGAUUUGAGUAAGAGCAUAGCUGUUGGGACCCGAAAGAUGGUGAACUAUGCUUGAAUAGGGUGAAGCCAGAGGAAACUCUGGUGGAGGCUCGCAGCGGUUCUGACGUGCAAAUCGAUCGUCAAAUUUGGGCAUAGGGGCGAAAGACUAAUCGAACUAUCUAUAGUGGGAUCUGCAGAUUUCCCCCCCCCGAGAGAGAGAAAAAAGUUGCUUGGGG